GGCUUGCCUGUGCCGAGUUGUGGUCUGUAGAAACAUGGUCGGUCGGCAUUCCGGGCCAAGUCCCUUGGAAAAGGGCAGCUGAGAGGGUGAGACUCCCGUUCUUGCCUGGAAUGUGCGAUCAUAGCACCUGUUUUCAACGAGUCGAGUUGCUUGGGAUUGCAGCUCAAAGUGGGUGGUAAAUUCCAUCUAAAGCUAAAUAUUGGUGGGAGACCGAUAGCGUACAAGUACCGUGAGGGAAAGAUGCAAAGAACUUUGAAAAGAGAGUUAAAGAGUACCUGAAAUUGCUGAAAGGGAAGCGAAGGAAACCAGUGCUUAUUCUAUGCCAUUCUUCUUCUGUUGCUUGCGACAGGGGCGCUGUGGUUUAGUAUGGGCCAGCAUGGGUUUGACUCGGAAUAAACGGCUUUGUGGGAGGUAGCUUCUUUUCGAAGUGAAGACCACUUUGUUCUAUUCUGGGUUGGAUCGAGGAUAGUCACUUGUGCUCGUGAUGC
rnacentral:rRNA from 1 species